rnacentral:rRNA from 1 species
AGAGUUUGAUCCUGGCUCAGGACGAACGCUGGCGGCGUGCCUAAUACAUGCAAGUCGAGCGAAUCUGAGGGAGCUUGCUCCCAAAGAUUAGCGGCGGACGGGUGAGUAACACGUGGGCAACCUGCCUGUAAGACUGGGAUAACUUCGGGAAACCGGAGCUAAUACCGGAUAAUCCCUUUCCUCACAUGAGGAAAGGCUGAAAGACGGUUUCGGCUGUCACUUACAGAUGGGCCCGCGGCGCAUUAGCUAGUUGGUGAGGUAACGGCUCACCAAGGCCACGAUGCGUAGCCGACCUGAGAGGGUGAUCGGCCACACUGGGACUGAGACACGGCCCAGACUCCUACGGGAGGCAGCAGUAGGGAAUCUUCCGCAAUGGACGAAAGUCUGACGGAGCAACGCCGCGUGAGUGAUGAAGGUUUUCGGAUCGUAAAACUCUGUUGUUAGGGAAGAACAAGUAUCGGAGUAACUGCCGGUACCUUGACGGUACCUAACCAGAAAGCCACGGCUAACUACGUGCCAGCAGCCGCGGUAAUACGUAGGUGGCAAGCGUUGUCCGGAAUUAUUGGGCGUAAAGCGCGCGCAGGUGGUUCCUUAAGUCUGAUGUGAAAGCCCACGGCUCAACCGUGGAGGGUCAUUGGAAACUGGGGAACUUGAGUGCAGAAGAGGAAAGUGGAAUUCCAAGUGUAGCGGUGAAAUGCGUAGAGAUUUGGAGGAACACCAGUGGCGAAGGCGACUUUCUGGUCUGUAACUGACACUGAGGCGCGAAAGCGUGGGGAGCGAACAGGAUUAGAUACCCUGGUAGUCCACGCCGUAAACGAUGAGUGCUAAGUGUUAGAGGGUUUCCGCCCUUUAGUGCUGCAGCAAACGCAUUAAGCACUCCGCCUGGGGAGUACGACCGCAAGGUUGAAACUCAAAGGAAUUGACGGGGGCCCGCACAAGCGGUGGAGCAUGUGGUUUAAUUCGAAGCAACGCGAAGAA